rnacentral:lncRNA from 1 species
GUGUCUAGAACGAUCAGAAACCCAGGGACGAACUCUCCUUCUUUCAAAACCCUAACUCCUCUAAAUUCACUCAAAAUCCAAGAAAUAAAACCCAAUUGAAGGUGAAUCAAGGCUGAAUUUGUGAUCCUCAUACUUAGUAGGUCACAAGGUAUGUUAAAUUUUUAGAUAUAAUGAUGUUGGGAUGAUUUUGAAUUCUCAUAACAGAAAUUAGAGGUAAAUUAAUGGAUGUUAUGGGUAAAUUUUGAUGAAUACAAGUCUAGGAAGGAGUAUUAGACUAUGAAUUGAUUUAUUCAUGUCAUAAUUCAUGAGUUUCAUUACUUGUCAUAUAAGGUGUGAUUGUAGUGUUCUUGAUAUAUGAAUCGAAUAACUAUGCCUAAAAAAGGUUAAAGUUAUUAAUCAUGAACAUGACAAUGUUAGAAUACUAAGUAUGCACACUAGAUGUUCGAUAAAAUGCUUGAAUGAAUUGAAAUACUUGAAAAGUAUGAAAUAAUCGUUUAAUUGAUUAAACAAGAGUAUGAGAUAUCGAAUAUUGAACCAUGAGUUCUAAACAAUAUAUUCGAGUCAAAUUUUAUAGGUGAAUUGGGUGGAUCAUCAAAUGGACAAGGCGGGUCGGAUAACCGCUUAAAAGGAAAACUUUGAAAAGGUACGCGGCUAUUCGCUUCGUAAUAUCUUGUUUUAGUACUUUUAUGCUUAGUUGUGGAAUGAUAAUUAAAUCGUUAUAAAGUUGGAUAAUACUAAAAACGAAGAAUUUCGUUUGUAGUAUCCAAACACGAAAAGGUAGAAAUGUUGAGAAUAUAGAAAUGAAGAAAGUGGUGGAUUCCACUUAAAAGUUCACCGGGUUAAAUUGACUCGGAUACUAUAUGUUUGAUUCAGAAAGGGCGAUGGAUUCGUUAGUGAGAUCAAACGGGUCAAAAUCACCAAAGUAUUAAACUUUGGUAAGUUAAAGUGAUAAAUGUUGCUAAUUAAGUCAAAAUGGAAAAACUAGGACAUGUGUACCUUAUUAUCGGCACUUGAGUUUUAGUUUAAUGUCUCGUAAUGUAAACGGAUGAUAAGAUGUGGUUCUUAUGGAAGUUUUGAGCUUAUAAGUACAUUUUAUACCUCAUUAAUGUAAACGGGUCGAAUAAUUUGGAAUACUCCUAUUGUACAGUGAAAACUCCUAUUAUUCAGUGAAACACCUACUGUACAGUGAAUACUCCUACUGUACAGUGAAAACUCCUAUUAUUCAGUGAAACACCUACUGUACAAUGAAUACUCCUAGUGUACAGUGAACAUUACAUAGAGCUGGAAAAAAUGUUGUUCUUUUAUGUGUUUUGACUUUAGUACUUGUUAAUACACAUUAUAAACAUCAAUGACUAAUGUUUUGAAAAAUUUCUGGAUUAUAGGUGAUGGUAGCGAAUUACGGAUGAUGAUCAAGUACCCGAAAGGAUCGAACACACAAAUGUCAAAGCUUCCGCAAUUAUAAUAGUCCUUUUGAAAUGAAACUUAUGUGUAAUAAGUAGAAGUAGUUUUGUUGAAAAUAUAUAAAAUCCAUGUAAAUUAUCGUUUUGUGGAUAAUUGGUAAAAGACACUUAUAAAGUGAUAUAUGU